CAAGUCUGAUGGAGCAACGCCGCGUGAGUGAAGAAGGUUUUCGGAUCGUAAAGCUCUGUUGUUGGUGAAGAAGGAUAGAGGUAGUAACUGGCCUUUAUUUGACGGUAAUCAACCAGAAAGUCACGGCUAACUACGUGCCAGCAGCCGCGGUAAUACGUAGGUGGCAAGCGUUGUCCGGAUUUAUUGGGCGUAAAGCGAGCGCAGGCGGAAAAAUAAGUCUAAUGUGAAAGCCCUCGGCUUAACCGAGGAAUUGCAUCGGAAACUGUUUUUCUUGAGUGCAGAAGAGGAGAGUGGAACUCCAUGUGUAGCGGUGGAAUGCGUAGAUAUAUGGAAGAACACCAGUGGCGAAGGCGGCUCUCUGGUCUGCAACUGACGCUGAGGCUCGAAAGCAUGGGUAGCGAACAGGAUUAGAUACCCUGGUAGUCCAUGCCGUAAACGAUGAGUGCUAAGUGUUGGGAGGUUUCCGCCUCUCAGUGCUGCAGCUAACGCAUUAAGCACUCCGCCUGGGGAGUACGACCGCAAGUUGAAACUCAAAGGAAUUGACGGGGGCCCGCACAAGCGGUGGAGCAUGUGGUUUAAUUCGAAGCAACGCGAAGAACCUUACCAGGUCUUGACAUCUAGCGCCAAUCGUAGAGAUACGAUGUUCCCUUCGGGGACGCUAAGACAGGUGGUGCAUGGCUGUCGUCAGCUCGUGUC
rnacentral:rRNA from 1 species